CAGAUGGCGGAAUGGGUAGACGCGCUACGUUCAGGUCGUAGUGAUCCUAAGGUCGCGGAGGUUCGAGUCCUCUUCUG
rnacentral:tRNA from 1 species